UACGAAGGGGGCUAGCGUUGUUCGGAUUUACUGGGCGUAAAGCGCACGUAGGCGGAUCGUUAAGUUGGGGGUGAAAUCCUGGAGCUCAACUCCAGAACUGCCUUCAAUACUGGCGAGCUAGAGUCCGGAAGAGGUGAGUGGAACUCCUAGUGUAGAGGUGGAAUUCGUAGAUAUUAGGAAGAACACCAGUGGCGAAGGCGGCUCACUGGUCCGGUACUGACGCUGAGGAGCGAAAGCGUGGGUAGCAAACAGG
rnacentral:rRNA from 1 species